UUCACAAUUCCCAAGAUUUGGAAUCAACCUAAGAGACCAUCAAGAGAUGAAUGGAUAUUUCAACAUAUUAGAUGGAUUUUUGGAGAAAGGAGUUGGAAUAAGGACUUGCUCUGUCCACUCCACUCAUCAGCCUGGUAUUGUAGUACCUCCAGGAAUGGUGCACCCCUC
rnacentral:snRNA from 1 species